rnacentral:rRNA from 1 species
UCGGGAAUUUUGGGCAAUGGGCGAAAGCCUGACCCAGCAACGCCGCGUGAGGGAUGAAGUAUUUCGGUAUGUAAACCUCGAAAGAAUGGGAAGAAUAAAUGACGGUACCAUUUAUAAGCUCCGGCUAACUACGUGCCAGCAGCUGCGGUAAUACGUAGGGAGCAAGCGUUACUCGGAAUUACUGGGCGUAAAGCGUGCGUAGGUGGUUCGUUAAGUCUGAUGUGAAAGCCCUGGGCUCAACCUGGGAAUGGCAUUGGAAACUGGCGGACUGGAGUGCGGUAGAGGGUAGCGGAAUUCCCGGUGUAGCAGUGAAAUGCGUAGAGAUCGGGAGGAACAUCCGUGGCGAAGGCGGCUACCUGGACCAGCACUGACACUGAGGCACGAAAGCGUGGGGAGCAAACA